ACUUUAAUAUGGAAGUACUUGUUUUGUUCUUUUUAAAAAGUGCUUGCAUGUUUUAGUGA
rnacentral:pre_miRNA from 1 species